rnacentral:rRNA from 1 species
UACGGAGGGUGCAAGCGUUAAUCGGAAUUACUGGGCGUAAAGCGCACGCAGGUGGCUGAGUCAGUCGAUUGUGAAAGCCCUGGGCUUAACCCGGAAAUGGCAUUGGAAACUGCAUAGCUAGAGGUUUGGAGGGGUAACCGGAACGAGCAGUGUAGCGGUGAAAUGCGUAGAUAUUGCUCGGAAGGCCAGAGGCGAAGGCGGGUUACUGGUGCGCAACUGACACUGAGGCACGAAAGCGUGGGGAGCAAACAGG